AUGGAGAAAGCUGAAAAAAGGAAGAAAAAAAUAUAUAUAUAUACGUAUAUAUAUAUAUAUAUCUCCAAAAACAGACAAAUCCAAGGCUGUGAGGUGAACAAGUGUCUGCGUUUGGAUUCCACAAAACCAAAAUCCAUGUUGAACAAAGUGAAGUCCGUACACAGUGACUUUUUGGGUGACCCCGUGUGUGUGUGUGUGUGUGUCUGUCUGUCCGUCCGUCCGUCCGUCCGUCUGUGUAUGUGCGUCUGUUGUGUGCGAGCCCCGAGCCCUGUUUUCCUGUGAAGAUACUUUGAGUGGCAGCCAUUCUGUUCAUGUGACCCACACGUCUGGAGCACAGAUGGCCCUCUCAAGGUAAUUUAUUUUACACAUUUACUGUUUACUGAACAAAUGUCUGACUCUGUACUCGGGUGUACUCAGUAGCAUUGUCAACGGCAGUCCCCCUUUGUUUGCCAGAGAUACUGUGCUUGAAGUAGAGGUUUUACUCUGCUCAUCACUGCAAUUUGCACAUUGCUCCAUGGACACUCGGAGGCCUGUGUUCUGUUCCCUGUCAAUGGAAACGUGCUCUGAACCUGUCUGCCUCCCUCGGCUGCUCCUGGCCCUCGGUAUCAGCCUCCGGGGGUGUCCACAACCACUUGGGACGGAUGGUGAAGGUGGAGUUUCAGACAGAAGCUUGAUUGGAUCUUCAGUGACAAGCUUGCGCUACUGCCUGUGGCCCAGAAGUCGGCCCUGCCCAGAAUUGCCAGGAGGAGGCUUUGGGGGACACUACAGGUACCGCAGGGCUCCCGCAGGUACUGCCCUCUGCGGAGUCCAGCAGACACAAGCAAGCAAGCUGGUGUGUGGCCAGAGUCGGCCAGAGUGCGUCAGCAACCCUCAGAUGCCUUCCCUUCCACCUUUUUAAAAAGAGAAAAUCCAAGUAACUCACUGAAGUGUCUCAAAGGAGAACAAGUUUUACCAAAAUGAAUCCUCCUUUAUUUAACUGAUCAAAUGGAUGAACUCUGACCCUCUCAAGUUUCUUUCCCCAGUUAGAGCUGGGGGACUGGUCUGAGUAUCAGCUGUUGGGCUCACUGCAGCCCCUACCCUUAUGGUGAGAGAAGACAAAAUACAACCUGCAGGGCUGGGCUUGAUUCCUGAGGCACAGUCUGGCCCCUGCUACAAGAGGCUACCCUGCUCAGAAAGACGGAAAUAGGGGAUUGAAGGGAUAGUUGGGGGGCCAGGGAGAUUUGAUUGAGUGUGGUUUUCCAGGUGAAUGAGAAGGAUGGGGUUGGUCGAGGGUUUGGUGCUACAGUCGGAGAUUUGCAAAUGCUAACACAUUCCUGUGUGAGGCACAUCACCGUUUGUCAGUUGUUGUGAAUAUGUGUAUUUUAAGCAAUAAGAUUCAGCUGGUCAGACUUUUCUGGGCAGUCUCAGUGACGCAUUUCCUGUGCUGUGAUUGUUCUGAAGACAGAGUGGCUCUAACCACUGUGAGAAGCCCAAAUAAAAAUCAGUCCCCAAAAUUCUAA